AAGAAAGUUAAGAAGAGGGAAUGGGUAAGCUUGUUGCCUACUCUCAAGAGGUGGAUGAGAUUCGAAGAUGGAUGUUUCAUUGCCUUGGCACCGAGAUUAUCAGUGAGCUGGAAAGAGCAAAGCAGUGGAGCUAGAAGGACAUACUCUGCAUGAGGCUGGAUUGUCUUCACAUACUUCAGCCAACAUAUCACAACUGAUUGAGUGCAGAAACAGGAAUGAGAACACAGCUGUCUUCUGAGAGAAUCUUCACUUCAGCAGAGCUGAAUACUGACCUCCAUCCACCCACUGUUUAGAGGAACUAUUUGGAUAUUUUUCAUCAGUGUUGUGAAAGUUAGAAUGAUCAAUUACACUCACAGAAUAAAGAUGUAUAAAUUGUAGUUAAAAGG
ensembl:lncRNA